rnacentral:tRNA from 1 species
GCGGAAGUGGCGGAAUUGGUAGACGCACAAGAGUGAGGUUCUGGCGCCGCAAGGUGUGAGAGUUCGAGUCUCUCCUUCCGCACCA